GGUGUGUGAAGAAUGUUUGCUGUUAAGGCUGGAUCUGAUUUAAAUAGCUCUGCUGAUAGCUUAUCGUUUCCUGGGGCUUUAUUGUUUUUAAGACUCUUUACUGUUCUGAUAAUCUCUGAUCUUGAUGGAAUUUCUAUAUUUACUUCAAGGUCGUCUUCUGCUAUGGGUAUGUUUGCUGUUGUUUCUGGUUCUGGCCUAUUUAAU
rnacentral:lncRNA from 1 species